CUGAAGUCUAACUAGGUUAAAGAAAGCAGUUUUUACUUAAAUAGCAUUAUGAUCUGCUGUUAGAUGGUUCAUAGGACUAAAAAAGAGUGUAUUAAUUGCAUGUUUUACCGGUUAAGAAUGAGUGUGUAGUGUUGAAGGUCAGAAACCCAUCCCUCUCCUUUCUAAUCUCGGAUAUGUAAACAGUGAGCUGCAACAGUCCAGACAGCUGUAAAAACGGAACGUGGGAGACAGCGGGUUCUUCGGGGCCUCAGAACAAGGAGCCGGUGCCACGGAGUUAGGGGACGGUACACAGAUACCCCCCACAGUGACGGAUGACGGGCCGACCGGCGGCUUGUUCCCGUUGAAGAACUGCCUCUUCUCGGCCCUGAAGCGCAACACCGACGCCUCCAGAUCCAGGCAGUCCCGCCGGCUCUCCUUCAGGGCGUCCUGACGCAGCUUGUAGGCCCGGUCGUUGGCGAUGACCUGGGAGAGGGGGAUCCCGAACGCCUUGGGGGCUGACUCUGAGGGCAGAAAUAAUUCAGAUUAAACCGGAUUUAGAGGCACAAAUAAACCCUGCUCAUGCAUUAGAGUUCAUGUAGAUGAGCAGGGUAAGAAUAGACAGAAUAAUGGAGAGUUAAGGUAAGACCGGGAUCAUCAGGUGAUCCCGUUAGAGAGGCAGACAUCACACUGAUACUGGAUCACUGCAGAUAAAUAAAGGGGUAAGUGGUGUCCUCGCAGGAGCGUCAGACGGCAAAUCCAACCCUCUGCUACGUCACAAAGACAACAGAUGAUUGGGAAAUAAAUCCAAUUAGGAGGUGUGAAUUAAGGGUUACUUGCUUGGAUUAAAGAGGGACAAGCCAGAAAAAACGUUCAAAUGUACCGUUUAAAUAUAGCAUUGUGUGGCUGUAUAAGUCCUUUAAUAAAUAAACUGAAAAACAAUCGACAAGGAACUACCAGAACCUGAAUACCCCGGGUAAAAGUGUGAUUUUUUCAGCUCCAGGCUCCCAGUUAAGCUCCUCAAUAAGUGCCUCGUUGGCCGACUGCCAGUUAGCAUUGGCAUGUAGCAUAACAUUGUUCCUUUUAACAAUUUAACACAGACAAUUAUAUUUAGGGAAGCUUUUAGACAACAUUUAAACUUCUGUAUCAAUCAUCAAUAACUCUAGUACAAUAACACCUUUUAUUUUAUGAUACAAAGUUGAUUCAUAAUGAGUCAUUGCUUUGAAGGCAGGAUCUUUUACUUACCAGAGUAUUUUUUGGUUUUACUAAUUAGUUAAAAAGCACUUCCUCCUCCUCUCAUGAUAACCAGCAUCAGCGGCUGUUCUGCAAACCCAUUUUAAGUAUUUUUAUCUAACCAAAAAAUCCUCUCUCUUGCUUCUUUUUAAGGUAAUAUUCUUGCUUGUGGUUGGAAGAUCUUGUGCACACGUCACCCUGUUACUCGGACAAACACAUUUCUGCCCGGCAACAACAAUAGUUCUCCAUCCACCUAAUAAGAUGUUCGAUCAUCAAACGGCUAAUUCCUCUCAGUCCUGACGUAUGCUGGCAGGACUUCGGCCUCCUGACAUUUGGACACGGUUUCUGGCAUCCAGUCGGCGUCGAGCCCCACUUGAGCUGGAGGUGUUAAAGUAAACAGCUGAGGAUUUAAUAGUUGGCUUCAUACACUUUAAAGUCCUGGACGACACUUCAGAGACAGACGGCAGCCGAGGUUACGGGACAUUUAAGAGGUCUGAGGUUUAGUCUGCAGAUAUUUCUGGGUGUGAGUUUUAAAAUCAACUGAAUAGUAGUUUACAUUUGUAGUAAGCUGUUGUUUCAAUGGUUUGAAUGACUGUAAUCAUUACACCUUUUAAAUUAAAUCCAAGUCUUUUGAAUUGAACAGGAAAAACACUUUCAUUUCAUAUUGUUUUAAAACCUGUAGUCACAACAUCACACUUUCUAUUUUAAAUCCCCUCAAAUCAGUACAUUUUUAAUGACUUUUUACUACAAAUUCAAUUUAUUUCUUUUGUUGUGUAAAA